UGGGGAAUUUUGGACAAUGGGGGAAACCCUGAUCCAGCAACGCCGCGUGAAUGAAGAAGGCCUUCGGGUUGUAAAGUUCUUUUGUCUGGGAGCAAAAGGAAGCUGCUAAUACCAGUUUUUUAUGAGAGUACCAGAAGAAUAAGCACCGGCUAACUACGUGCCAGCAGCCGCGGUAAUACGUAGGGUGCGAGCGUUAAUCGGAAUUACUGGGCGUAAAGGGUGCGCAGGCGGAUAAUUAAGUUAGAAGUGAAAUCCCCGGGCUCAACCUGGGAAUUGCUUUUAAGACUGGUUAUCUAGAGUUUGUCAGAGGGGGGUGGAAUUCCAAGUGUAGCAGUGAAAUGCGUAGAGAUUUGGAGGAACACCGAUGGCGAAGGCAGCCCCCUGGGAUAAAACUGACGCU
rnacentral:rRNA from 1 species